AUCACUGCCUCCUGUGGGAGCAAGGAGUCAGCUAGACUGAGUACAAAGCUUCAGGGAAAAAGACGAGAGAGACUUAUUGGAUAUGUUUAUUAUACGAGAAUAAGAAGAUCUGCAGCCCAUUCAACCAAGUGUGAACGUGAAAUGUACAUGAACAUAUGCAUGGAUUUUCAUGUGUACUUAAAAAAAAAAAUGCAAGCGUUGCUGGAAAUGUGGUGGACCAAAGUUAAGAUUUUAAAUAUGAGAAGCUGAAAUGCACACAUCCCUGUAUCCCUAAGGGAAGUGUCUCCAACACAGUUUCGAUGGAGACUCUAUCAAGGUAUCCACGAGAUCUCCCUUGCAGUAGCUGGUGCUUUGCCAUUAAACUGAAAAGGUCACGAUUCCAGACAAUGAGCUAUUUGUGCCGACCAAAAUGAGGGGCGGGGGAGUUGCCCCACAUCUGGAGAC